GAUGGUCACUUAUCGUAUAAUGUUUGUUACCGCACUACCCUAUUUAAGUUAUCAACAUAUAUUCACUAAAAAUAACGUAUUUGCUGCAACUCAAGUACUCUCAAGAAUCUAGGUCCUCUCAUCGAAUUAAUCCAAGGUGUUUCAUCCCUUUCAUAUCGUUGCAUAAGAAACCUACCUACUGAAUAAUAUGGACCGUAAUAUCAAAUUGGCAAACACGAUAGUUUAUGUUCUACACGACCUUCACUAGAAAUCUGAAUCAGUUGCUUGCUACUACACGUUAAAGCUCACCAAUACAACAUCGUCGUUAAGGUAAUUGAUUCAUUACUUUAAUUUCUUAAUUUAUAUGCAAUUUUUUUAUCGUUUUGAUUUUUAUGAUUUGUUUGGCUGCACAUGUCAUUACAGCACCAUGAAAUAGAGAAUUCCUUUUCACCAUGACCAAUUUCAUCUGCUACCACUUAGUUUGGGAUCUUUUACUUCCAUCAAUUGUUUUUAAUCAACUUAUGUUUUUGAGGUUUCUAAUUAUGGUUGUUUUAAUUUUGUCUUGCAGUGUCCCUGUUCGCAUUCUUCCUGCAUGUUCAAAGUUGAAGAAUGAAAGACUAUUAUUGGCAGUAAAAUGGUUCAGCUCAAGGUAUUUGUUUGCGCCACAAUUCUUGGGCAGUUUUAGUUUUUUUUUUUAAUUAACAAAUUUGGAUAUAGUGUGCAGGCUGUAGUUUGUUGAAUUUAAUAACCAUGUGUGUUCCAUGUUCGACUGAUAAAGGACCAAGAGUUAUCAAUAUGGAUAUAUUAGCAAAUUAACCGUAAAUGUAUGUUCUUAUAGUUUGCAUAUUCUAUAAGGAGUUAGUAGCUGCAGAUGAAAAGAAACUGGAGAGGAGGAUACCUAACAUAGUAGGUUUUACCUUUCAUACGCUACACGCUCAUGGUGGUAAGAAAGAACAUUGAAUAUCAUUGUAAUGUAACUUCAAUCCAUGAUGUCGCAACGUUACUUCCUCAGCCUUAUUGUUUUGCUGAUUUUUAUUUUUUUUUUCCUUUCUUUUUCCUUUGCUUUGUUUGUAUGUUCUAAGACAUAUUGUUGAACUUUGUGAUUGGCUUGAAAGAAGAAUACUACCUAAUUGUUUUUUUGUACAUGUAAGUUAAUGCAUUUCAUGGUUUGACCGUAUGAACUCUCUUCACUUUGUUAGAUGAUGAAUUGAAUUUCUCUUGAGUUGAUUAUUAAUCAUGUAUUGAAUCCUUUGUAUAUGGUUUCUCUAAUUGUCUAAUUAUGAGCAGUUGUGUUUUUUUUUUUUCUUUCUUUCUUCUGAUCAUUCUAAUAAUCUCUAAAUUAUAUUCUAAAUGAACAACAUGUUAAUGUAGUAAGAGAAGUUUAAGUAAGAGAAAUUUGUAUUGGUUUGCAUUUGUCACCCACUCUUUGUCUUCGGUUCUCUAGCCUUCAUAUUCACUUUAAUUGCACAAUAUUAGACAUUAGUUGCCAGCACUUUCUAUAUGCUCUCUACUAAUUAAUGCUUUUGAUAUAAUUAUAAUUAUGUGUAUGCUUCUCUUAGUAAUUGAUUUUGCAGGGUAUAUGAUUCCAGCUAAAGCUGUUUUUGCACUGUUACAAGGUUUGUGAUCCAAUUUUUUCAUCUCUUCUACUAAUGUAAACACGUUUGUUGAAUCUUUUUGUUUCUCUCAAUUUGAUGUUUCCAUUAUCAACAUUUUGUUUUAAUUCUUAUAUGUAACUCUUUUUUCCUGUAUUUUUUCUGCUACAACCCCACUGGAUCUACAUGAUUCCAGCAACAAAGAAAAGUAUAUUAACACCAUGAAGCUAAUGUCCAAGAUUGGUGUUGUCAAAACUAAUGUCUCAAUUCAAUUGUGCUUUUAAAACUCUUUCCUUUUUGUAUUACUAUACUUUAGAUGUCAAUAAUAUGACAUGACAUUGAUGAAUCCUUGGAUUAUUUUGAGUUUGAUGUAAUUAUGGAUGAUUUUCAAUUAAUUU
rnacentral:lncRNA from 1 species